rnacentral:rRNA from 1 species
CAGUCGCCGCGGGAAUACGUAGGUGGCGAGCGUUGUCCGGAUUUAUUGGGCGUAAAGCGAGCGCAGGCGGUUAGAUAAGUCUGAAGUUAAAGGCUGUGGCUUAACCAUAGUACGCUUUGGAAACUGUUUAACUUGAGUGCAAGAGGGGAGAGUGGAAUUCCAUGUGUAGCGGUGAAAUGCGUAGAUAUAUGGAGGAACACCGGUGGCGAAAGCGGCUCUCUGGCUUGUAACUGACGCUGAGGCUCGAGAGCGUGGGGAGCAAACAGGAUUAGAUACCCCUGUAGUCCCUGUCUCUUAUACA